GGCGCUCAAGGUCAUCCCCCCCUGACCUUGGGCGUCGACGGCCCCGGCAUCCCCCCGCCGGGGCCGUCCCCU
rfam:Ornithinimicrobium sp. CNJ-824 NODE_2_length_226270_cov_156.795_ID_3, whole genome shotgun sequence.